UUGUUGCCUAGAGAACCAAGACCGUAGCUACUUCUUGCGUCGCUUUACGCUAUUCAUUACGCUUAACGUCUUAAAGGCACUCAGUAGCUUAGAAACUUGCGUGUAACGCGGGUAACCAUAAGGCUACCCGUACGGACAAGCUCGCAGUAAUAGGAGAGAG
rnacentral:rRNA from 1 species